rnacentral:rRNA from 1 species
CGUAAGUCCCGCAACGAGCGCAACCCCUAUUGUUAGUUGCCAUCAUUCAGUUGGGCACUCUAGCGAGACUGCCGGUAAUAAACCGGAGGAAGGUGGGGAUGACGUCAAAUCAUCAUGCCCCUUAUGACCUGGGCUACACACGUGCUACAAUGGUUGGUACAACGAGUUGCGAGUCGGUGACGGCGAGCUAAUCUCUUAAAGCCAAUCUCAGUUCGGAUUGUAGGCUGCAACUCGCCUACAUGAAGUCGGAAUCGCUAGUAAUCGCGGAUCAGCACGCCGCGGUGAAUACGUUCCCGGGCCUU